CUGUACGCGCGACACGCAGGUCACGAAUGAGUUACACACAUGCAUCACAUACACAAGGGGGCCAUACUGAUCACAAGAUACACACAUACAUCCUGCAAAACAGAGUUAAGCGUCCUAACGUUCCAAACUUCGGAGACCCGAAACUCCAUCUUCCAAGCCGAAUUUGGGAAAUCUAAUUUCGCCGAAAAUGGCAAAGCGGUUGAAUUUCAUGUGUAACUUUUUCUGUAGAUCAAUUUUCAUAUAAAAUUCGCCCCGAUCCGAGAUCGUACCGAAAAGUUACGGCUGAUUUACCGAAG
rnacentral:lncRNA from 1 species